rnacentral:lncRNA from 1 species
UUUUUUUGUUUGUUUGUUUUUUGUUUUUUGUUUUUUGUUUUUGCGAAAAGUCUGUUCAUGUCUUAUGCCCACUUUUUAAUUGAACUAGUUUUUGGGUUUUGAGUUGUAUAAGUUCUUUAUAUAUUUUGAAUACUAACCCCUUAUCAUAUAUGUCAUUUGCAGAUAUCUUCUCCCAUUCUGUAGGCUGCCUUUUUGUUUUGCUGGAUGUUUCCUUCAUUGUGCAAAAGCUUUUUAUUUUGAUGUCGUCCCAGUAGUUUACUAUUGCUUUUGUUUCCCUUGCCUCAAGAGACGUACCUAGAAAAAUGUUGCUACAACGGAUGUUGGAGAUAUUACUGCCUAUGCUCACAUCUAGGAUUUUUAUGGUUUCAGGUGUCACAUUUGGGUCUUUAAUUCAUUUUGAAUUUGCUUUUGAAUAUGGUGUAUGAACAUGGUCUAGUUUCAUUCUUUGGCAUGUGGGUGUCCAGUUCUCCCAACACCAUUUGUUAAAGAGAAAGCCUUUUUCCCAUUGUGUAUUCAUUCUUCCCUUGUCGAAGAUUAGUUGACCAUAAAUUUGUAGGUUUACUUCUGGAUUUUCUAUUCUAACCCACUGAUCUGUGUGUCUAUUUUUGUGCCAGUACCACACUGUUUUAAUUACUACCAUUUUGUAACAUAACUUGAAACCUGGAAUUGUGAUCCUUCCAAGCUUUGUUUUUCUUCUCGAAGAUUGCUUUAGCUAUUUAGGGUCUUUGUGGUUCCACAGAAAUUUUAGGAUUGUUUCAGCUUUGUGAAAAAUUCUAUUGGUAUUUUGACAGGGAUUACAUUAAAUCUGUAGAUUGAUUUGGGUAGUAGAGACAUUUUAACAAUAUUUAUUCUUCCAACCUGUAAGUAUGAAAUGCCUUCCCAUUGAUUUGCAUGAUCAUGAAUUUCCUUCACCAGUGUUUUAUAUUUUUAAGAGUCUCUUAUCUCUUUGUUAAGCUCAUCCCCAGAUAUUUUAUUGCUUUGGAUGCAAGUGUAAUUGCAACUGUUUUCAUUUCACUUUCUGCUGCUUCAUUAUUAAGUGCAGCAGAUUUCUGUACAUUACUUUUUGUAUCCUGUGACUUUACUGAUUCAUUAUUAGUUCUAGGAGUUUUUUGGUGGAGUCUUUAGGGUUUUCUAUAUAUAGUAUCAUGUCAUCUGCAAUAGUGAGCAUUUUACUUCUUCCUUACCAAUUUGAAUGCCUUUAUUUCUUUAUGUUGUCUAAAUUCUGUGGCUAGGACUUCCAGAUUAUGUUAAAUAAUAAUUGUAAGAAUAAAUAUUCUUCUCUUGUUCUUAACUUUAUGGGAAAAGUUCUCACUUUUUUACCAUUAAGUAUGAUAUUGGCUGUGGAUUAUUUAUAUAAAGCCCUUAUUAUGUUGAGGUAUGUUCCUUCUUGACCUAGGGUUUCUAUAAUGAAUGAUGUAGUACUUUGUCAAAUGCUUUUUCCACAUCUAUUGAAAUGAUCAUACCGUUUUUAUCCCAUUCUCUUACCGAUGUGAUGUAUCAUGUUGAUUAUUUCAUAAAUAUUUAACCACCUUUGUGUCUCAGAAAUAAAUCACACUUGAUGGUGCUGUAUUUUUUUUUUAGGUAUUGUUGGAUUCUGUUUGCUAAUAUGUUAAACAAAAUCAUUAAUGAAAGAGAAAAAAUAACCACCAACGCAACAGAAAUACAAAAAACUGUAACAGAAUAUUAUGAAAAUUUAUAUGCCAACAAUUGGACAACUUAAAAGAAAUGAAUAAAUUCCUAGAAACAUAAAACCUAUCAAAAUAAAGUAGGAAGAAAUAGAAAAUUUGAACAGAUUGAUUACCAGCAAUGAAAUAGAAUCAGUAAUCCAAAAAUGCUGCAAAAACAGUUCAAAACUAAACAGCUCAUCGGAUGAAUUCUACCAAACAUUUAAAAAGUUAAUACCUAGUCUUCUCAAAUUAUUCUAAAAACAGAAGAGAAAGGGAAAAUUCCAAAUUCAUUACACAAAGCCAGUAUCACCCUGAUACCAAAAUCAGAUAAAGACACUACAAAAAAAAAAAAAAAAGAGAGAGAGAGAGAACUGCAGGCCAAUAUCUCUCAUGAAUAUAGAUGCAAAAAUUCUCUUCUGCUUUUUUUUUUUUUAAUGAGAGAGAGAGAGAAGGAGGAGGAGGAGGGACAAGGAGAAAGAGAAUUCCAAGCAGGCUUCUGACAUGGGACUCCAUUUUACAACUAUGAGAUCAUGACCAGACCUGAAAUCAAGAGUUCACGCCUAACCAGCUGAACCACCCAGGUGCCCCCUCUUUGCCUAUUUUUAGUCAGAUUAUCUGUUUUGUUGAUAUUAAAUUGUGCUUAUUGUUUAUAUAUUUUGGAUAUUAGCUCCUUACCAGGAUACACAAUAUAUAGUUUGCCAAAAGGGGUAUAUAUCACACAAUGGAAUAGUUUUCAACCACAAAAAAGGAGGAUAUCCUGCCAUUUGCAAUGUGAAAGGACCUUGACCAUAUUAUGCUAAAUGAGGUAAGUCAGACAGAGAAAAAUAAGCAAUAUAUGAUAUCAGUUAUAUAUGGAAUCUAAAAAAGCUAAACCUGGAGUAUAAAGAUCAGAUGAUGAAGUAAAAGGAUCCUGAGCUCACUUCAUCCCAUGAAAACACCAAAACUACACAUACAUAUAGAACAACUCUCUCUGAGAACAACCUGAAAACUAGCAGAACAGCUCUUCCACAACUAAAUAUAUAAAGACAAAGUCACAUCCAGAUGGAUACAGAGGCAAGGUCUAGUCAGGAUUCACAACCAAGCAUGAUAAUCCAAAAGUAAAAGGACUAUCACAAAUGGGGAGGUGUCCCUAAGGAGCAAGAGGUUCAGGCCCCACAUCAGGCACUCCAGGCCUGAGGAUCUAGGAAAAUAAGCCCCCACAAUAUCUAGAUUUGAAGACAAGGAAGUCUCAAUUCCAAGAGAGUCAGAGGGUUAUAGAAAACAGAAAUGCCAUUCUCAAGGGGCUGGCAUACAGAUUCACUCACUCGAAGAUCCAGCGCAGAGGCAGCAGUUUGAAAAAUGCCUGUGCUAUAUACAUGAAGGAGAUUUAUUGAAUGACUUUAUGGCAUGUGCUAAAGAAACAGGAAUCUAUAGGAACUUUCUCUGGAACAAAAACACUGGCAGGUGGUGUAUAUAUAAUAUAUUUAUAUAUACUUAUAUAUAAUAUAUACUAUUUAUAAUAUAAAUAUUAUAUAUAAUAUAUAAAAUAUUAUAUAUUUUCUAUAUAUAAUAUAUUUAUAUUAUUUUAUAUUAUAUAUAUAUAUAUAUAUAUAUAUAUAUAUAUAUUACUCUUUCUUUCUAGCUUGCUUGGUGUUGGUAAGCACUAUUUCUGACACUAUCUACCUUGCUAACACCACUCACCUCACCCUGGCAUUCCCCACCCAUAUACUUACCCUACCUACCUGGCCACCCCAGCAGGUGCCCCUCCAAAGUGGCUCCCACACUGCCACACCCAGGAAGAGGCUUCAGCCAGGAUCGAUGCCUCCCCAAAGUAGCUCCCACCCAAUAUGACCAGUGGAUGGACUUGGCCUGGACCAGUGCCCCCCAGAACAGCUAGCCUCCCCCACCAGCACAUCUACAAGAGUCACAACAGGGCUUUGCAGACAGCCAGGCCAGGGGCCAGCCUCACCCUCUGGCAUGCCCACAGCAGAGGUGGCCCAGUCAUAACAGAAGAACCCAUGUCAGCCCACACAGGAGACAUCUCUGAUGUACUUGGUUCCAGUGAUCAGAAAGGAAUGGACUUUGGGGCAUCACAAGGCACCCGUUACAUAAGAUGACUCUUUCAAGUCCAAAAGAUGUAAUUUAUC